rfam:Synechococcus sp. RS9917 scf_1099465004208 genomic scaffold, whole genome shotgun sequence.
CGGUUUCGAUCUGCUGGGGGCAGAUGAAGUGGAUGUGGGUGUCGAUGCCAGCCGCCGUGAGGAUGUGCCCUUCCCCGGCGAUCGCUUCGGUGCCGGGGCCCACCACGAUCGUCACCCCGUCCUGGAUGUCGGGAUUGCCGGCUUUGCCGAUCGCCACGAUGCGGCCGUCCUUCAGCCCCACAUCCGCCUUGACGAUGCCCCACCAGUCGAGGAUCAGGGCGUUGGUGAUCACCGUGUCCACGGCGCCGUCGGCGCGGCUGGUCUGGGCCUGGCCCAUGCCGUCGCGGAUCA